CUGCCGUGGCCGGCCCCGCGGGAAGGGCGGCGGUGCGGGGGCGCCGUGCGGGUCCGGGCGCAGGCGGAGGCAGAGCCGCUGGAAACGCCGAUUUAUCGCUCCCUGCCACCGGCUCCGCGGCAGCGCCGGGCUAGCCCCGGGCUACGCCUGCCAGGGCGGUGUAAAGCGAGGCCUUAAGUUAGGGCAAGGCUCCCCACAGCCCCUCACCCGCUGCAGUCUUCGGGUCGCGGCUGUUACACCCCAAAUCCCCACGCUUUGUGUAACAACUCCUGCCCCUUCCAAUUUCAGGGGCUGCCUGGCCGGGGCGGCCGAGGAGGUGACCUGGCUGGGGUGUGCGAAGUGGGAGUUCAGAGUUGAGCGUGUUCAGGAUUAACAAAGGAAUAUGGGAAAUGCACCUUCUGAGCACACGUGUAGUGCAGAAAUCUCCUCCCAAAAUCUAAAGAUACUGAAUGUUGCCUCUUCUUAGAGAGGGAGACACGUUAAUUUUGUUUGUUUGGCUUUGUUCUACACAAGGAAAAUAUUGUUGGCUGGCUGCAAUUGUAUGAGCAGCACAGGGCUACUUAACAAAAACAUUAAGUAAACAGCAGUCGAUUUUUAGCAGCAGUGCAGGCAGACCUGCAGUUCAUGUCCUUCUGGAUAAACAUCCUGGUUAUUACAGGUCACUGCUGUUUGCCAAUGAUUAUGCUGCGUUCAGGGCAUUCAUGGAAAAGUCAUAAAAUGGUUUUCAGAGUCUGAGUCUGGUAAAACAGCUCCUGUGCCUCAGCCUGGGCCCUGCUCCUCGGCUGGGCUAAAGCCUCCCAGUCAGGCGAGCCUUUCUGCUCCUGGGUGCAGUCUGACAGGACUGAAGGAGCAGAGAUCAGAUCAGCCCCUUCUCCGAGGUGUCUGUGGAGGCUUUGGAAACUCUGCUGCCUGCCCUUGCUGUGGCUGUAUCUCCUGCUCGGGGUUUACAGCCCAGGUCUGCUCAGGGCUCAGGCUCCGUGGGCUGGCUGAGCUCUGCAAGGCUGAGUGUGAGCUGCUGUGCCUGUAACAGUUCUGGGCUCCGCUUAGGAAGGUGUGUGACUGCUCCGGGCAGAGGAGGCACCCAGCUGGAGCUCAGCUGGAGCUUUCAGGGUGCAGCACCACAGGAACAACAGCGGUUAUGCAGCACAGGGCCCUUUCUGGUUAAAUGAAUUCAGUUUCCUUGAACCACAGAGGCUCAAGUGACCUCUAGCAGUGGC
rnacentral:lncRNA from 1 species